UCCGUUGCCAUGGCGACCGCAGGGGUGAGGGGGGAGCAGGAGCACCCCCGCACUGCCCGCACCCGCUGGGAUGGGUCUGUGGAUUUGGUCCUGCUUCCCGUGCUACCCGUCUGCUGCGCCAGGGCACGUUGAAGGAUGUGGAAGAUGCAGUUCACAGCAGAAAUAGUUCUAAGUCCCUGCUCAGGACAUCCCCUGUCACAGCUGGCAGGAGCUGAAGGGACACAUAGCAGCAAUCUGGUUAUGAGAUGGAAUGGGAGUAAUGGCUUUUCUCUGCAGAAAGAUACAGAACAUGCACUGUGUAAGCUGGAUGACAUCAAUUUAUGAUGUCACAAGGUCUCUGGUUUCUCUCAGUGAGCCUUGGCUUAUCUUGCUUCUGAGUGUUGGAGAUUCCACGAGGAUGCCUCAGAAUCCUCUGCCAGGAUAAGACAGUGACAAUGUUAUGUUGCACAGCACCUCCUCCUGUGAUGGUCUCCUGGCCUCUCCAGUCAGUCAGGGGGGCUCAUCUUGUUCUUGGAGCUGUGCUACUUCUUUGCAAGCACCUUUUAUUUUAGAACACACAUUUUUGUGUUUUUCUCAAAUUAUGUACAGUUUCAGUUAUUUAAUUU